CUUUUGAGAGCAAAGACGUGUUUCAGCCAUACUCAUUUGAGCACACAGAGGUCUCAGCUUGUUCUCCAGACAUAUUCUGUGUCAUGUCCUGGCCUUAACCAGGCUUUGAGGAUGUGCAGACACUUGAAGGAUUGUGAUCAGGUGUUGGGUCACUUCAGUAACACUACCCAGGGGCAAGCUGGGUGGGAAUUCCAGAGGGAUCACCUCCUGGACACACCAACUGCUGAAGGCCUGGGCAYGGAGCAGCGCUGGGCAGAGGUGUUUGCUUUCCAGAGGGCUGCCAGAUCAGCCUGGGGUCAUGGAGAAAGUGCCACACUGUGGAAGAGUCCAAGGCUUCUGGUCCUGGGCAGAAGUGAGAAAAGCCUCUGAAAGGAGUGAGAUUUGUGCCCAGGGCUAGGCUGGGAACCAAGUGAUCCUAACCCUGGCUAUGAACACGACUAUCCAUUGCUAAGGACUGAAGCAAAGCCCCUGUCUGCUACCACAGUCACCAGGGGCUUCAUCCAGAGGAGUUUUCUGGUUUUUGUCCUUCCCCUGAAGCUGCCCUUCACCCUUUGUGUUUUCAUUUUGAAACACUGUCCUUUCUCCAGGCUCCAGCUUGMAGCGAGCUGCAAACUCUUCCAAAAGCCCACACCAAAGAGUGUCCCUUUGGAGUGGAAGGGAUCAUUAAAAUGCCUUGUUUCUCUUCAAGGCCAGUGUUUAUAUUGAAAGCAGCCAUGUGUGAGUACUUAUGCAUGUCCAAAGGGAGCUCUGUUCCUGCAGGCACUUGUCCAGAUUUGGUGAGAAUACAAUCAUAAAGUGUGUGAAGAGAAGGAUGGGGAUGUGGUGCCCAUCCUGCAGCCAGGAUACUCCGAUCUCUGAUCUCAGCACCAUCAGCAGGAGGCAAUCACUGCUCCAGCAGGGUUGGUCUGUGUGUCCAUGUGAGCCUUUGCAGCAGUUGGUGUCUGUCCCUGGGCAGCAGGCUGGCUGGACAUUGGAGCUGGUGCUGUGCAGGUUUCCAGAGCCUCUGGUGUCUCUGAGUGCUGGCCAUGUCUCCUGGCUCGUGCAGCUGCAGAGAUGAGUUUUGGUGGUCUCACCGGUCCUUUCCUUUGUAUUUCUUGGCAGAUGGAAGAGGCUGAGAGCAGAGGGGCAGUCCACAAGAUGGGGUCCCUGAUGCAAGACCACAGAUCCAGYCCCACUCCUGCUCCUCCCCUGUCUUCUCCAGCAGACUCCCCUUUGAGGCCAAGCUUUCCCAUCACUUGCCCCUGUUUUUCCUGCAGCUGUGGGGCUCUGAGCCCAAUUCCAGCCCCCUGCACCACAUACCAGGUCCAAGAAAUCCCUCAGGGAAGCUGGAAAUAAAAUCCACAUGUCAAGGAGCCCACUGGUCACAAACCUGUGUGUUGCCCCUUCACAGGACCCGUCAUCACUCAGAUAACUGACUGUACCCACCCUGGGCACAUCAAUGCCAUCRACAGUAGGCACUGAGCUCCGAGCUGAUCUCUUUUGCUGUGCUCCAUGCCUGGGCUCCAGGAGGUCCAGAAUGCCUUCACCUCACUUUGCUGAAGGAAACCCUGGAGAAUUUUGAAUGGAGAAAUSCCCUUGUUUUGAUUCCUCCACCAAGAGCUGAGCUGGCUUCUGAAGGAUUGWUAGGCCAGCAGUGGCCAGAUGUGUAGAAGCAACAUUUCAGAGGGACAAAUCCCCUGCGGAUCCAGCCUUGCCCACUCUAGGAGUGUCUCCCUCUUCCACCUGCUACCAUGGCAAACSCCUGCAAGACACCAGCCCCAUCCCAAGGAUUUGCUCUUCCUUCAGCAGCAUCUGCAGCAYUACUUGCAGGGUGCUGAGGGUGGUGAAACAGGAAGCCUGCAGCAAGGGAUUUGCCACAAUCUAUAUAAUGUCUGGGAGGCGCCUGGAAAAUAUCAUCAGGGCCAUGUCUGAAUAAGCCUAAAAAACCCAGCUGGAGGAGGAGGGAGCGCCUGGCCUGGGGGAGGAGAGCAGGAGCUGUUUGGGUCCCUGUCUCCAUGGGAUCCCCKACACACACGCACUACAUGUGCUGUGACCAGGGCUGGCAAAUAUUUCCAGCUAYGUUUCCACCUGCUUCUCCUUCAGAUCCAUGGAGAUACGGGUCUGGGUCAUCCCACAGAGGGGAUUACCCUUGUUGCUGUCAGCAUGGGGCUGCUCCCCCAUAUUCCAUGGCCUAUGCCCAGCCCCCGGCUGGAUUUGAGCUUUGGGGCCGCCUGCAGAAGCUCCACAGRCUUGUUUUUCAAAAAGACUGAGUUGUGCUGAAAUAUUUCACACAGGAAAGAGCUGCAAAUAUUUCCCRUGUGAGGGAAAUAAGUGAAGUUAAAAGAGCACGCUUGUGCUGGAUGGCUUAUUAAGGGAUUGCUUUUGCAUAUGCUGUCAGCUGUAGAUUUUUGGGYGGCAAGCUCUUUCCUCUCUUCCUUCCUGAAGGGCAGAGCUGCUCCCAAGCCCUUGGAGGCAAACUGAGUCAGGCCCUUGUCUACGGAUAAGCCAUUCUGUGUAUCCAAAAGGAAAUUUUUAUUAGAGGCCUUGCAGAUGGAUGGCUGUGUGCAGGAGGCUGGGCUCCCCAUAGAUUUGAAGCCGUAUCAGUUGUGACUGGUUGGUGGCAGCAGGAUGGAGAGGAAGGCUCACUCCUUGGCACUUCUGAGGAAAAACACGUCCCCAGCUGCUCCGGACUCCACGGGUAGAAGAUGUUCUCCUCCUCCCCACCCCUCCUUCCCUGGGGGCUGCCCUCUCCUGUUCUCCUGCCGGCCUGGCCUGCCCCAGCCAAGGGAGGUGCACAGGGGACUCUUGCACAUCAUUGGUCUGAGAAGGUCUCCAUGCCCUUAAAGAGAAGGUGCAUUUUCUGCUGAGCCACCCGAGACGCCCUUUUAUACCUCCUUACUGAGCCAGCUGCCUGUGGCUCGUCUGUCCACCCUGUCCAGCCAGCACGACUCUGAUUUUCUCCUCCAGACUCGGGCUCACAACCAUCUAAACCAAGAUGUCUGAGUAAG